GGAAUUCAUGCCUUGCAAAGGGGAGGAGCCUGCCCUCUUGAGCUCUUGUGGUGACCUGGGAAUCAAUGUGUGAGGUGGUGCUAUGUAGCAGGAACCCCUCUUGCUUUGCAAAUAGUUUUUUGUUUGUUUUCCUUUUUGCCCAAUAGAGCCCUGCUCUACUGACCCUUCAAUGUGCCCGUGUGCCUAAAUAUUCCUGGUCGUGUGAAAAGAACCCAGGUAUUAGCUGAACUAAGGAGCACAAUUCUGCAACAUUUUGGCACCCAAACACGGGGCUUGAGAAAUGAAUGCAAUUGGAGAAACUGGUUGUUUUACCAGGCGUUGAUUGGAAAUGUGUGCUUCCCUUUAAGCAGUCAAGCUCAACUUGCAGAACUGAUGGGAACCCCUUGGGAAAACUGGCCUCAAAUGUUUGUCUACACAGUCCACAUACAGGGUUCUUAACCUGCGGUGAGUAAAGAAUGUCACUUUCCAACAGGCCCAGAUAUCAUAUGCUCUUGGGACCUCAAGAAGAGAGGAGUUUACCCAAUUCAUAGGUGUGUGAGGAUAAAAACCUAGGGCUGGGCUCAGCUUUAAAUGGUCUUAUCUGAGAUUCUUUGUGAAACAGAUUUUCAUGAAAGCCAAUCUAGAGGGCCUACGUAGAAAUAAUUGUUUUUGCUGCACUUUAUGCACAUAAUCAAGCCAAUUAUAAGACUAAAGUCUAUAUUGCAAGCAACACACUCCUAUUAUGAUUUGUUUUUAACAGAAAUGAGGACGAGACAGAGAGAAAUUAUGUUUCAAAACUUAUCAUCAUUAGUUUCUAGACUUAUUAUUUCUUUUUAAGUUUUUACCUACAUUUUAGACUGACCCUGCUUGUGCCUGUGAACCAACCAACAAUCUCUGGCUGCAGCUCAGAAAGGACAAAAGAGAAUGGGUAAUGUAAAAACCUGGAUCAGUAUUUUAGUUCUGAACAAUUAUCCUGCAAAUCCUGCCAGCUGAUGGGAAUAAAUAGGAUGCCCAUGAUCCGGAGGUUUACUUUUUGGGAAAGUAAAACCAAGGGAGCUAACCAAAGUAAAACCCCAUACACCCAAAUCUGAGCAAGCAUAACUAUAGCCACCAGUUAUCUGGGUGUGUCACAAGACACUCUUUUCUUUCCUUUGUUGGAGGAGAACUCAUUUCCACAGCUUCACUUUAGCAUUAUGGCUUAUGUUAAGGAGUCUAUGCAACUUCCAUGCUGAGACACGUUUUUGGUCCCAAAGUUAAUUCCAAGCUUUGUGUCAAAGGCCUAAGAAAACUGGAUCUUAGGGAUCCAGAAGCCAGACAAUAAUGAAAGUCAAAAGGCACAGCACAGGUGAGCAUGACUAAUUCCCGCUGAUUAAGCCAAGCUUCCUGUUUCAUGGAUAAAGGUCAUGCUAGUAUCCAUGGCAUAAAUGAGGUCUAGAGAACUAAAAGGCUACUGCCAGCAGGGGAGAUAGGGAGGACAUAAGACAGGGCAGCUAUUCCCAUCCCCUAGACCCCCUGUUAACAUGGAUGAAAGCCACUUUGACACCCAUGGGUGGCACCCUGUCACAGUUGGUGGGACUCAGCAAUACAGGGACAGAGGAAAGAAAGAGGAACAACUCACUUUCUCUCCCUCACACACCCUGAGUAUUUGCUAGAAAAAGAAAGGAACCAGGCACACAUGCUCCCCUAUUUCUAGAUGAGUAGCCAUUCAUCUUUAGUCUGCACCCUUUUAGAACAUGUCCUGAACCCCUGGGACUCUUCUGAAAAAAAUGCCUUCUUUUUUCCUUUUUCUUCCUCUGUCCUCUAUUCACUGGUAGGUAGGUAAUGGUGUCCCAUACCACAGAACACUUCCCUCAGAUGCAUCCUUCUAACUGGGAGGAGUUAAUUUCUCAAACCGUAGACUAAUUGGCUUAGGAUUAGGUUCAGGGGAAGGGAACACAGAAACAUGACAUGCCAGCAAAAGGGUAAAAGGUUUUUUUUCCCCGUUGGGCUUUUGGCCUCUCUCUCCCUGUGCAAACUGGUAAAAGGCGUCUGGAUUUUCUAGUUGUCCUUACCCACUGCUUGUUUCGUUUUGAUACAUAUUUUCUAAUAACCUGUUUGUCUCUUCUCACUUUUAGGCCAUCAAACUCCAGUCUGCACCUGGAGCCUUGGAUGAUGGCCUUUUUUACUGGGAACCCUGAAAUAGGCCUCUGAGGGAAAUCUGAUUGCCAUUUUCCCAAAACAGCUUCCCUGACAAUAGGAAGCAAUUAAGAUUGGUCUUCAUCCUUAUCUUUAUCCUUAUUCUAAUGGCAGUUAGAGGUACUUCUUUAGAGGGGGGAAUGAGACAGCCAAAUGCCUAGGCAGAUAAAAAGGUGUACCUGGAAAAUUUCCAACCCGUCACACAAGUGUUUACAUCAGAUGCUUUUGUGUAGAUGAGGGAAACUUCCCAGGGCUUGUCUGGGUAUGCCCACAGUGGACUGGAGCCCAAAAUGCACACUGGAGGAAGUGGAUGGAGCCACGUGGAUGUCAUGCCUUAUGCAGGGGAGGAGCCUGCUCUCUUCAGCUCCUGUGGUAAUGUGGGAAUCGAUCUGUGAGGUGAGGACCUGUUAGCAGGAACCCCUCUUGCUUUGCUGAAAGUUUUAUUUUUCUUUUUGCCCUAUAAAACCCUGUUCUACUAACCCUUCAAUAUGUCUGCAUUCCUAAAUUUUCCUGGUCAUGUGACGAGAACCUAGGUUUUAGCUGAACUAAGGAGCAAAAUUCUGCAACAUAAAGUCAAAGAAAACUAUGCCUAUAUCCAUUAAAUCAAAUGUUAAAAAGCAAAUAUAAAGAAAAAGUCUUCACAGCCCUAGAGAAAAGUGAAACAUUGUACAUAAAGAAGUAAUAAUUUGAAUGGAUUGUCAGAAACCAUGACUAGAAGACAGAGGAGCAAUAUUUUCAAAUUUCAUAGAGAAAGGAAAAAAAGAAAAGAAGAAAAAAAAGAAGACAUAAUAAAACACCUGUCAUUUUAGUAUUCUGUACCCAUUGAACAUAACCUUCAAUAGAAUGUGAAGUAGACAUAUUCAGGUGAAUAAAAAAUCAAGAGAAUAAUAGUUAUGUUCUACAUGAAAUUAUAAAGGAAAUUUCUCAGACUAGGUGGAAAUUAUACUAGUGAGAAACAGAUUUGAAGGACUAAAGGAAGAGAUGAUAGACUGACAAAGUCAAUUUUUAAAAGCCAGAUCUAACUUCUUAUUGGCUACAAGGAAUCCACUUUUAAUAUACAAAAAUAGGUAAUAAUUAAAUUGCUAGAAAAUACAUUUCAAAUAAAGAAUCAGCACAUGUAGCUUGGAGAAGAUAUAUUAACAUAAAAAGGACUUCAAUAAAAGGAGUAUUAUGAGAAGACAUUUAUGCAGCCAAAAAACACAUGAAAAAAUGCUCACCAUCACUGGCCAUCAGAG
rnacentral:lncRNA from 1 species